UCGGGGUCAGCCUCCCUGCUUUCUUGACCGACUCUCACCUUUAUUAGAAGAAAAACCACCGUGGCCUAUGGUAGUCUCAAGUUUUCAUGUGAUUUCACUUUCCAGCUCUCCUGGCAAGGCGAGAUAAUCUGUGUUUAAGGUCCCUUCAGUGGUUUCCUCGUUGUGGAAGAUGCUACCAUGAACAUCUUUGAAUUUUUGUAUACCCAGACGAACUGCUCCCCCAAAGAGUGUUUCUUUAUCGUGAAAGCCUGGUUGGUUGGAUGGAUGGAUGGAUG